rnacentral:snoRNA from 1 species
AACUUUCAAAAUCCUUACCCAUCAGAUCCGAGCAUUGGUCUGAGUGGCUAUAAACGGAGGAGGAGGAAAUGUGAAACCGACUUGGAUUCUUUUGUGACAUACAACUUAGUUCCACACAAAC